rnacentral:lncRNA from 1 species
GCCUUUUCCUUAACCAGUUGGAAGACACUCAUUCUGCUUUUCUGUCUCAAGAUACCUGGAUGUCUGAGGAGCCUAAGUGAGCCCUGGGAGUUGAAGCUGGGCAUCAGGGACUGCUGAUCUGUAUCAGCAACAAGGCAGAAGCAGGAGUAUCCAGCAGAACUAUGAAUAUUCUCCUGCUUCCUCAGUCUUCGGCAACAUUGGUAAUUUAAAGUCUUCAAUACGCUCAGCAUGGACAGAACAUAAAUGAUUUUCUAUUCCAGCAGCACCGGGGAACAGAACAAGGUCAGGCACUCACCUUAUGCUGAAGUCAUAUAGUUGCACGCUGA